rnacentral:rRNA from 1 species
AGCGAACGCUGGCGGCAUGCCUAACACAUGCAAGUCGAACGAGACCUUCGGGUCUAGUGGCUCACGGGUGCGUAACGCGUGGGAACCUGCCCUUAGGUUCGGAAUAACUCCCCGAAAGGGGUGCUAAUACCGGAUAAUGUCUUCGGACCAAAGAUUUAUCGCCUUUGGAUGGGCCCGCGUUGGAUUAGCUAGUUGGUAGGGUAAAAGCCUACCAAGGCGACGAUCCAUAGCUGGUCUGAGAGGAUGAUCAGCCACACUGGGACUGAGACACGGCCCAGACUCCUACGGGAGGCAGCAGUGGGGAAUAUUGGACAAUGGGCGAAAGCCUGAUCCAGCAAUGCCGCGUGAGUGAUGAAGGCCUUAGGGUUGUAAAGCUCUUUUACCCGGGAUGAUAAUGACAGUACCGGGAGAAUAAGCUCCGGCUAACUCCGUG